UCAUUGGGACCGCAAAACCUAAAGGCGAAAUGAAAGUGAAGGUCGACCUUGCGUCGACUGAGGGAGGAUGGGUUGCGUCACGAUGCAGCCCCGCACUCCCGGGGCGUCUCGUACUCAUUGCGAGUAGAGGCGCACCCAGAGCGUACACGUUGGGACCCGAAAGAUGGUGAACUAUGCCUGGCCAGGACGAAGUCAGGGGAAACCCUGAUGGAGGUCCGUAGCGAUUCUGACGUGCAAAUCGAUCGUAGGAGCUGGGUAUAGGGGCGAAAGACUAAUCGAACCAUCUAGUAGCUGGUUCCCUCCGAAGUUUCCCUCAGGAUAGCUGGCACUCGCGUGAAGCGAGUCUCAUCUGGUAAAGCGAAUGAUUAGAGGCCUUGGGGCCGAAACGACCUCAACCUAUUCUCAAACUUUAAAUGGGUGAGAUCUCUGGCUUGCUUGAACAGUGAAGCCACGAGAUUUUUCGGAUCAGAGUGCCAAGUGGGCCAAUUUU
rnacentral:rRNA from 1 species